rnacentral:rRNA from 1 species
UACGGAGGGGGCUAGCGUUGUUCGGAAUUACUGGGCGUAAAGCGCACGUAGGCGGACUGUUAAGUCGGGGGUGAAAUCCUGGGGCUCAACCUCAGAAUUGCCUCCGAUACUGGCAGUCUCGAGUGCGGGAGAGGUGAGUGGAAUUCCCAGUGUAGAGGUGAAAUUCGUAGAUAUUGGGAAGAACACCAGUGGCGAAGGCGGCUCACUGGCCCGUAACUGACGCUGAGGUGCGAAAGCGCGGGGAGCAAACAGG